UCCUUCAUGUAAUACCCACCAUGAAUUCCAUCUUUCUCAACUUGCAUCACCGACUCAAUGGAGCAGUUGCUUAACCAAACGAGGUUAAAAUUCUCUGGUGUAGGACAAGAGAAGGCAGAAGGAACCAGCAACAUCAACGACUGAAAGAUACCAGCCCAAAAGAUUCAAUCUUUCAAAGGAGAAACAAUUUCACCAAACAAAUGAGCCGGAGUGAUGGACGUGGAGGUGAAG